CCUUUCCAAUGAAGAAAAAAAAAAAAAAAUAAUAAUAAUAAGAGGCAAUGCCUCUUUUUCUCUCAGAACCGAGGGAAGGAAAGAAGAGAAAGAAAAGAUGGGGAAACUUUCUCAUUUUUGCGAUCUACGAAGAUCUAACGGUCCGAUCUUCGAUCCUUCUUCGGAAACGUGAUCCUUGCACUUGGAUCUACGUUUCCACCGAUCGUUUUAAGGUAAUGGGUUACUUGGAACUUGCUUAAGACUACCCAAACCAUGGGUUUUGGUUUGGUGAAUUUUGAUGAUGUUCUUUUGGCUGCAGGUAUUCCGAUCGUAGUUGAUAGCAUUGUAGAAGGGUAUUUUGGAUGUUAUGACUGAAGCACGCCACAACGGUCGUAAUUGGUGGACCACGGGUUGUCCACUUGUUUAUAGAUGUUUGAUGCCAGAUCUACGCUCGCUCGUUGCUUUCCGCUUGACACGCGCCUUUUGGCCGGAAUGUCCGUCGCCGUCCGCUCCUGCUGCUGGUCGCACAGGUCACGCCGGUUGCCGGAGCUCGGAGCGUGGUCUGCACGCGCCAGAGGGGUUUCUGCCGUUCGACGCGCGUGACGGCCACGUUUCGCCAUUUUCUGGUCUUGCACGAUGGGGAGGGGGCUUCCGGCGGUGUCUCUUCGGCUGGGGGGUACCGGGGCCAGCACGUGUUUCCCACGCGCCGCCGAUUUUGGCGAAAUCCGCCUUUCUUCUGCCGGUUCUGGGGUGUAGCCUCUGUUUGUGGCUGGUUUUUUAGUCUACCUAUGUAAUUUAUGGACAUUUUGGAAUUGUUUUGAUGGCUUUUUGCUAGAUCUGUCUCUCUAUUAUGUGCUAUUGUGCUUUAUUGUUUAGAGGGACUUCAUGUAUGACCUUUGUAAUGUUUAUUUAUUAUUUGGGUAGAUUUUUUUUUUUUGUUUAUUCUGAAUCUUUUUACAGUUUACCUUUGGUAGCUGCUUUUAAGUCAGGUUUUACCUGACUUAGUGGGUGGAGUUUCUUUAUCUCCGGUCACAAUUGGCCUUCGGGCAUGUUUGAACUUUUUCUGUCUUGUAUUGGCCUUUUGGUCAAAUGUAAUUCCCACUGGGGCUUGUUAUUA